ACACUUCUUGGCUGUGUGCACGCAGCAGGAUCUGGAUACGACAGACUCCUCCAGCUUCAAGGUCAGUCAGAUGCUCCAAAUGCAUGGUCUUUCUAAAGGACAGUACUAGAACCAACCAUGGUGAGCCUUAGCACAUGGGACCCACAACCAUGUAGGCAACGCUUAAUAAGAAACGGUGGGCCAGAUAGAAAUGGGAACGUGAUGUGGCAAGAGGGUUGCCCUUGCCUGGAAUCACGUUUUUCCCUGGGCAUGAGCACUGGCAGCUCAACCAGCGAACCCAGAACCUUAGCUCACAGUGCCUCUGUUUCAUAGUAAAUUAAGAAAUUCUGUGGAGCUGGGCAGUGGUGGAGCUCGCCUUUAGUCCAGCACUUGGGAUGCAGAGGCAGGCAGAUUUCUGAGUUCAAGGCCAGCCUGGUCUACAGAGAGAGUUCCAGGACAGCCAGGGCUACACAGAGAAACCCUGUCUCGGAAAGAAAAGAAAAGAAAAGAAAAUUCUGUGGAAAAAAAAUCUAAAUGUGGGAUUUUGACCCAAAACGUGGGGUAAGUGAUAAGUUUAGAUGUUACAUUUCAUUCUCUAAUAAUUUGCAGAGACCAAUCCACUCGUGUCUGGUAGUGUUUUUCCUCAGUUGCAUCAAAAGAGAUGCCUAAUGACUUGGCAUGAAUUAGCUAGAAAAUUUAUGUUGAUUUGAGGCUCUCCAAAAGAGCAAAAUUGGUUACUAGUGGCCUGGAUUCCUCUUAACUGGCUAAUGCUACUGCCAGAGAUUCAGUCCUGAAAGAGUUAAUAUACUGAAAGUGAACUACGUAAAGCUCCAUCUUUAGAAGGAAAAUGAAAAAUAAGCUUCAUAUGGCUUACUUAGUUGCUUGGCUCUUGGAGGAUUGUCAUUGUCACCCUGCCCUUGUAUGUGAAGUCCAUGCCUUUGGAAGCUCUGCUUUGAAUGUAUGAAAAGUGACACUAGCCCAACAAACCAAAGCACCCUUUACCCUCACUGCUGUCCUCUGAACCUUCCAAAAGCACAGCCAGGUUCUAUGACCAGCACAGUGCUAGCUGGGCAGUCAGGACAACGUGCUGUUAGAUUAACUGUAGACUUCCCAGGAGGCUGCUCUCCCAGUGGACAUCUGUCACUUCCUCUCCCAUCUGUGUCCUUCUAUUCUGUCCUUUCGUGGAGAAAAUGACAUCAGGGGUGGCAGGAAGACCAGACAUUGUUGGCUGCUGAGGCCUUGCCUGCUGCUCACACUGAGAGGCACCUUUUUCAAAGCCCCUAUCUAUGCAUGGAGCCAGUCAUGUCUGUGGGCUAAGCUAUGCACAGCUUCCUGGUAAAAUCACAGUGUCAGAGCAUGGACAGGGGACCAGGGAAGCCUCUCUUUAAAAAAAAAAAAAAAGUAGCAGAGGCAAAGCCAGGAAGCAGGGGUUGGGAUUUGGAAUAAGGAGGUAUGGUGGGGUCAGAGGUAGAAUGGGGCUGAGUCUGGGGUUGACUCAGUCCAACCCCAGAGGCCCUGAGUUCUCAUCUCUGCCAUAGAGCAGAGGAAAAUCUACUAGUCUUCCUUGAGGUCACAUGUGGAAUCAGUGUCUGGCAUUCUGGGAGCUCUUGUCUGUUGAGCCAGGUCUCCCACACAGAGCCAGUCCUGAAGGUUACUGUUGGAGGUCAUAUGAACCCCUGCAUCAUCAGAGAGGAUGACAUCCCACUCUGUUACAGCUGUUCAGAGGACAGGGUGGCCCUUAGUUUCCUAUUCUCUUGGAAAUGUUUUCUCUUGAAAGAUAAUUCUGAAAGGAUCCCAUGCCAUCCCAAAUGAACCCUAUGUCUUUGGCUUAUGACUUCCUACUUGCUGAGUCAGACAGAGAAGGUCAGGGGUGCCCAUUAAGGUUGAUCCUGCAUCCUGUCACAUGAGGUAAUUGGACCCGUGUGCCAUCUUACAACUAGGAAGCCACAGCCAUUUCUGCUUGCCUACAAGACUAGCAUCAUGAAUUUGCUCAGAAAUCCUCCGGUGCUGGAAAGCAGCAGGUACGCCUUCCGUUUGGGGUGACUUUUGGCAGCUGACAUUGGUGCCCCACGACUUCCGCCUUUCAUCUGUCUUCUAGCCUGGUGAAGCUCAGGCAGAAGGAUGGAGCAGAAAUAACUCUGAUUCAGCAGAAAGGCACACACCGUCCCAUCUCCAGGGCACCCAGAGGGCACAGAAGCUUCAGGAGUGGGUUAGUUCAUGUUGUUACAGAGCCAGAGAGAAAAUCAGGAAUCUGGAAUCCAAUCCACCAACUGGGAC
rnacentral:lncRNA from 1 species